CAUAGACUGUACAUAUACUGGACAAUUCGAUUCCAUAGGCUUCAAUUUCACGUUAUCUGUCCAUAAUGGGAGGUGUCCACCACCGCCAUUUUGACCGUGUCACAGGUUCCGUCCAGCCCAGACAAUUCCAUAAAAGGGAAGAGAGGAGGCGCUGAGGGUGUGGCUGUAAGGCUGGGCUCGAGUGACGACACCCAGGCGAACUAGCUACGAGCUAACCUGAAGCUAACCCUGGCUAACCCAAAGCUAAAGCGGAGGUGGGAGCCGAGCUAACGGAUGUAGCCACCUAGCUUCAACCCAACCGGAGCUAACUGGAACACCCAUCGACCUGAACCUUACACGGAGUUUAGGUGGAGGUUUUCUGCGCCUGUUCGUGAGAAGUACCUGUAUUAAAAAAGUUUUAAAUCGAUCUAUUAAAAGGUCACCAUGGCAGCCUGUGUGUCUCCAACGUCAGCUACACAACGCAGCGUCCAUUUGGAUCAUUGGAGACAGCUGAGUGAGGCGUGGUGCCCAGAGAGCUGCAGAGACAACCUUGGCCUCCCUGACGUCUGUGUCUCUUGGUUUGGUUGGGGCGGACCAUCGACAUACAUACAUGUGCCGACACUUUGCGCCCUGUUUUAUAAACUGUAGUGUUAAAAAUAAAUGUUUUUGCUCAA